rnacentral:rRNA from 1 species
GGGCGCCUACGGGGCGCAGCAGUGAGGAAUAUUGGUCAAUGGGCGGUAGCCUGAACCAGCCAAGUCGCGUGAAGGAUGAAGGUUCUAUGGGUUGUAAACUUCUUUUAUAAAGGAAUAAAAUGAGGCACGUGUGCCUUUUUGUAUGUACUUUAUGAAUAAGCAUCGGCUAACUCCGUGCCAGCAGCCGCGGUAAUACGGAGGAUCCGAGCGUUAUCCGGAUUUAUUGGGUUUAAAGGGAGCGUAGGUGGGUUGUUAAGUCAGUUGUGAAAGUUUGCGGCUCAACCGUAAAAUUGCAUUUGAUACUG